rnacentral:siRNA from 1 species
AUCCAUACUGUUUCAAAUGGGA